GUGGGUGUAGCUCAGUGGAUAGAGCACUGGACUGUGGCUCCAGGUGUCGGGGGUUCAAAUCCCCUCACCCACC
rnacentral:tRNA from 1 species